CGUUUGACCUCGGAUCAGGUAGGGAUACCCGCUGAACUUAAGCAUAUCAAUAAGCGGAGGAAAAGAAACCAACAGGGAUUGCCCUAGUAACGGCGAGUGAAGCGGCAACAGCUCAAAUUUGAAAUCUGGCUCUUUCAGAGUCCGAGUUGUAAUUUGCAGAGGGCGCUUUGGCUUUGGCAGCGGUCCAAGUUCCUUGGAACAGGACGUCACAGAGGGUGAGAAUCCCGUACGUGGUCGCUAGCUAUUGCCGUGUAAAGCCCCUUCGACGAGUCGAGUUGUUUGGGAAUGCAGCUCUAAAUGGGAGGUAAAUUUCUUCUAAAGCUAAAUAUUGGCCAGAGACCGAUAGCGCACAAGUAGAGUGAUCGAAAGAUGAAAAGCACUUUGGAAAGAGAGUCAAACAGCACGUGAAAUUGUUGAAAGGGAAGCGCUUGCAGCCAGACUUGCUUGCAGUUGCUCAUCCGGGCUUUUGCCCGGUGCACUCUUCUGCAGGCAGGCCAGCAUCAGUUUGGGCGGUGGGAUAAAGGUCUCUGUCACGUACCUUCCUUCGGGUUGGCCUUAUAGGGGAGACGCCAUACCACCAGCCUGGACUGAGGUCCGCGCAUCUGCUAGGAUGCUGGCGUAAUGGCUGUAAGCGGCCCGUCUUGAAACACGGACCAAGGAGUCUAACAUCUAUGCGAGUGUUUGGGUGUCAAGCCCGAGCGCGUAAUGAAAGUGAACGGAGGUGGGAACCCGCAAGGGUGCACCAUCGACCGAUCCUGAAGUUUACGGAAGGAUUUGAGUAAGAGCAUGGCUGUUGGGACCCGAAAGAUGGUGAACUAUGCUUGAAUAGGGUGAAGCCAGAGGAAACUCUGGUGGAGGCUCGCAGCGGUUCUGACGUGCAAAUCGAUCGUCAAAUUUGGGCAUAGGGGCCGAAAGACUAAUCGAACUAUCUAGUAGCUGGUUCCUGCCGAA
rnacentral:rRNA from 1 species